UGCCAGCCGCCGCGGUAAUACGGAGGGUGCAAGCGUUAUCCGGAUUUAUUGGGUUUAAAGGGUGCGCAGGCGGAACUUUAAGUCAGUGGUGAAAUCUUGCCGCUUAACGGUAAAAUUGCCAUUGAUACUGAAGUUCUUGAAUGUAGUUGAGGUAGGCGGAAUGUGUUGUGUAGCGGUGAAAUGCGUUGAUAUUAGGAGGAACGCCGGUGGCGAAAGCGACUCUCUGGUCUGAUACUGACGCUGAGGUGCGAAAGCUAGGGGAGCAAACGGGAUUAGAUA
rnacentral:rRNA from 1 species